rnacentral:rRNA from 1 species
CCUACGGGAGGCAGCAGUGAGGAAUAUUGGUCAAUGGGCGCGAGCCUGAACCAGCCACGUCGCGUGAGGGAAGAAGGUCCUAUGGAUUGUAACCCUCUUUUGUCGGGGAGCAAAAGACGCCACGCGUGGCGUUCCGAGAGUACCCGAAGAAAAAGCAUCGGCUAAAUCCGGGCCAGCGGCGGCGGUAAUACGGAGGAUGCGAGGGUUGUCGGGAUUGAUUGGGUGGAAAGGGUGAGCAGACGGAAGAUCAAGUCAGCGGUAAAAUUGAGAGGUUCAACCUCUUCGAGCCGUUGAAACUGGUUUUCUUGAGUGAGUGAGAAGUAUGCGGAAU